rnacentral:tRNA from 2 species
GCCGAGGUGGUGGAAUUGGUAGACACGCUAUCUUGAGGGGGGUAGUGCCGAAUAGGCGUGUGGGUUCGAGUCCCAUUCUCGGUACCA